UCCUCAAUUAUUUUAUUUGAGGUAGGGCCUGCUCAAUGCGGAAGUAAAUAGCCGCAGUAUUCUGACUGUGCAAAGGUAGCAUAAUAAAUUGGCCUUUAAUUGGGGUCUGGAAUGAAUGGUUUGACAAGGAUUUAACUGUCUUAGAGUGAUAAUUUUUGAAGUUAAAUUAUCUGUAAAAAUGCAGAUAUAGGUGAGAGGGACGAGAAGACCCUAUAGAUCUUUAAAAAGGCUUGUUGUUUAGAGAAAAACAAGGAGGUUUUUUUAUUUGGGGAAAAUCCUGAAAUUAGAAAAAUUUCGGUUAAAGAUUUAAUAGAAAAUGGAAAUGAUUGAUCUUAGAUCCAUGAAUUGGAGUGAAAAGAUGAAAAAGUUACCUUAGGGAUAACAGGACAAUGAUUUUCUAGGAGGCCUUAUUCUAGGAAACGUUUGUUACCUCGAUGUUGAAUUAAGUUAUCUAAUUAAAGAAGAAAUUCUUAUAGUUGGUCUGUUCGACCAUUAAAAAC
rnacentral:rRNA from 1 species